ensembl:snRNA U6 U6 spliceosomal RNA
CUUCUGCAGCCCAUGUUUUGUUAAAGUUGGAAUGAUACAGAGAUUAGUGUGGCCUCUAUGCAAGGAUGACACACAAGUUUGUGAAGUGUUUCAUUAAAAA